UACGUAGGGGGCGAGCGUUGUCCGGAUUUAUUGGGCGUAAAGAGCUCGUAGGCGGUUCGGCAAGUCGACGGUGAAAUCUCCACGCUCAACGUGGAGGGGUCCGUCGAUACUGCUGUGACUCGAGUCCGGUAGGGGAGUGUGGAAUUCCCGGUGUAGCGGUGAAAUGCGCAGAGAUCGGGAGGAACACCCGUAGCGAAGGCGGCACUCUGGGGCCGGUACUGACGUGAGGAG
rnacentral:rRNA from 1 species